rnacentral:rRNA from 1 species
UACAGAGGUCUCGAGCGUUAGGCGGAAUCACUGGGCUUAAAGCGUGUGUAGGCGGAUCGGUAAGUACCUUGUGAAAUCCCACAGCUUAACUGUGGAACUGCUUGGUAUACUGCCAGUCUUGAGCCAGCUAGGGGCUACCGGAACAAAUGGUGGAGCGGUGAAAUGCGUAGAUAUCAUUUGGAACGCUAAUGGUGAAAACAGGUAGCUGGGGCUGUGCUGACGCUGAGACACGAAAGCCAGGGGAGCAAACGGG